rnacentral:rRNA from 1 species
GACGAGCGCUGGCGGCGUGCUUAACACAUGCAAGUCGAGCGGUAAGGCCCUUUCGGGGGUACACGAGCGGCGAACGGGUGAGUAACACGUGGGUGACCUGCCCUCAGCUCUGGGAUAAGCCUGGGAAACCGGGUCUAAUACCGGAUAUGACUCCAUGACGCAUGUUGUGGGGUGGAAAGCCUUGUGCGGCUGAGGAUGGGCCCGCGGCCUAUCAGCUUGUUGGUGGGGGAUGGCCUACCAAGGCGACGACGGGUAGCCGGCCUGAGAGGGCGACCGGCCACACUGGGACUGAGACACGGCCCAGACUCCUACGGGAGGCAGCAGUGGGGAAUCUUGGGCAAUGGGCGAAAGCCUGACCCAGCGACGCCGCGUGAGGGAUGAAGGCCU